AAUUUAAGGGCGUACGGUGGAUGCCUUGACUUUAAGAGGCGAUGAAGGACGUGGCGUUGCUGCGAUAAG
rnacentral:rRNA from 2 species